rnacentral:rRNA from 1 species
GACGAACGCUGGCGGCGUGCUUAACACAUGCAAGUCGAACGGAAAGGCCCUGCUUUUGUGGGGUGCUCGAGUGGCGAACGGGUGAGUAACACGUGAGUAACCUGCCCUUGACUUUGGGAUAACUUCAGGAAACUGGGGCUAAUACCGGAUAGGAGCUCCUGCUGCAUGGUGGGGGUUGGAAAGUUUCGGCGGUUGGGGAUGGACUCGCGGCUUAUCAGCUUGUUGGUGGGGUAGUGGCUUACCAAGGCUUUGACGGGUAGCCGGCCUGAGAGGGUGACCGGCCACAUGGGGGCUGAGAUACGGCCCAGACUCCUACGGGGGGCAGCGGGGGGAAAUAUGGCACAGUGGGGGGAAGCGUGAUGCAGCAGCGCCGCGGGGGGGAUGACGGCCUUCGGGUUGUAACCCGCUUUCGCCUGUGACGAAGCGGGAGUGAGGGUAAGGGGAAAAGAAGCCCCGGCUAACUACGUG